GCAGUAAAUCGCCUUAUCGCUUUAAAUUUAUUUUAAAGAGGAAAGUCCGGACACCAUAGUGUAAUCAUAGUGGCUAACAGCCAUCCAUCGAGAGGUGAGGAAAAGUGCAACAGAAAGUAUGUACAGGUCAUGCUGUAGUGAAACCAGGUAAACUCUAUGAGGUGCAAUACCAUGUAUACUAACGUUUGAGCGUACACGCGCGAUUGUUAGAGGGUAGGUAGCUAAAGCGUGUUGGUAACAGCAAGCUCAGAUAAAUGAUAAGGGCUCUUUAGGGAGUACAAAAUCCGGCUUAUAGAUUUACUUAUCUA
rnacentral:RNase_P_RNA from 1 species